rnacentral:rRNA from 1 species
UACGAAGGGGGCUAGCGUUGUUCGGAAUCACUGGGCGUAAAGGGCGCGUAGGCGGCCGAUCAAGUCGGGGGUGAAAGCCUGUGGCUCAACCACAGAAUUGCCUCGAUACUGUUUGGCUUGAGACCGGAAGAGGUUAGUGGAACUGCGAGUGUAGAGGUGAAAUUCGUAGAUAUUCGCAAGAACACCAGUGGCGAAGGCGGCUGACUGGUCCGGUUCUGACGCUGAGGUGCGAAAGCGUGGGGAGCAAACAGG